rnacentral:misc_RNA from 1 species
CCGAGUUAUACAACUCAUCAACCCUGUGAACAUACCUAAAACGUUGCUUCGGCGGGAACAGACGGCCCCGUAACACGGGCCGCCCCCGCCAGAGGACCCCCUAACUCUGUUUCUAUCAUGUUUCUUCUGAGUAAAACAAGCAAAUAAAUUA